GAUGAACGCUAGCGGCAGGCCUAAUACAUGCAAGUCGAACGGUGUCUUCGGACAUAGUGGCGCACGGGUGCGUAACACGUAUGCAACCCACCUUACAUUGGGGGAUAGCCUUUCGAAAGGGAGAUUAAUACCGCAUAAGACAGUAGCUGGGCAUCCAGCAGCUGUUAAAGAUUUAUCGAUGUAAGCUGGGCAUGCGUCCAAUUAGCUAGUUGGUGAGGUAACGGCUCACCAAGGCAAUGAUUGGUAGGGGAACUGGGAGGUCAAUCCCCCACACUGGCACUGAGAUACGGGCCAGACUCCUACGGGAGGCAGCAGUAGGGAAUAUUGGGCAAUGGACGCAAGUCUGACCCAGCCAUGCCGCGUGCAGGAUGAAGGUGUUAUGCGUUGUAAACUGCUUUUAUACAGGAAGAAACGACUCUUGCGAGAGGCAUUGACGGUACUGUAUGAAUAAGCACCGGCUAACUCCGUGCCAGCCGCCGCGGUAAAAC
rnacentral:rRNA from 1 species